UGGGGAAUAUUGGACAAUGGGCGCAAGCCUGAUCCAGCCAUGCCGCGUGAGUGAUGAAGGCCUUAGGGUUGUAAAGCUCUUUCGCCGGUGAAGAUAAUGACGGUAACCGGAGAAGAAGCCCCGGCUAACUUCGUGCCAGCAGCCGCGGUAAUACGAAGGGGGCUAGCGUUGCUCGGAAUCACUGGGCGUAAAGCGCACGUAGGCGGAUCGUUAAGUCAGGGGUGAAAUCCUGGAGCUCAACUCCAGAACUGCCCUUGAUACUGGCGAUCUCGAGUUCGAGAGAGGUUGGUGGAACUCCGAGUGUAGAGGUGAAAUUCGUAGAUAUUCGGAAGAACACCAGUGGCGAAGGCGGCCAACUGGCUCGAUACUGACGCUGAGGUGCGAAAGCGUGGGGAGCAAAACAGGAUUAGAUACCCUGGUAGUCCACGCCGUAAAACGAUGGACGCUAGCCGUUGGGGGGUUUACCUCUCAGUGGCGCAGCUAACGCCUUAAGCAUCCCGCCUGGGGAGUACGGUCGCAAGAUUAAAAACUUAAAGGAAUUGACGGGGUCAUAGCUGUUUCCU
rnacentral:rRNA from 1 species